GAAAAGAACCGAUCGGCAUGGAGCAGAGGAAGCUGUUCUUGGACCACAUGUCCUUGAAUUAUUUUCAUCUGGGCAAUAGAUUAUGAAACAACCGCUGGUCAAACAAACAAGGGGUUUCUAUAGAACAACGCAUAAAUAGAUUCUGCAAUGGGAACAAAGCAUAUGCAAUCUAAUUCUAGCAUGGUUGGAAGAGUCUCAAAAAGCCACAAAAUGCUGUGCAAAGCUGUUGAUAGACCUAGCAAAGAACUUCAACAGCCAUCUCCUAGAAGUUUGGUGACUGCAUCAUCAAAGAAUCUAGAUUCAACAGCAUCAACAAGAGUAGCUUGCUGCAGAAGUCGAAGAUUUUGUACUUGUAAAAGUUGUAUGGAGUAUGGCCGACAUAAUGAGAUUAGCCUAAGAUUGGUUCAGAAGAAUGAAGCGGCUGAGCCAUUUUCAAGUAAAAAGUUUGUUGGUGUGGCUGAUAAACAGUGUAAACAAUUAUUAGAUGCAUUGGGAAUUUUCAAUUCAAAUAAGGAAUUGUUUGUAAAUCUACUACAAGACCCAAAUUCUCUGUUAAUUAAACGUAUUGAAGACUCUACUGAUUCAAGGAACAGAAAACAGCAGAUGAUGACUUUCUUUGAUAGUAGGUUGUCUGGAAACAAGAUAAGAGAAGUGGGGGAAUAUGAGGAGCCUGACUACAGUAAAAAAUUGAAGCCCUGUGAUAGAUUACCCACUGAGGAUAGCGAUGAUUCUCUAUCCUUGGAAAGAAUAGUGGUAUUAAAGCCAAAUCCAACUGUCUCACUACCUGCGGCUGUGGGAACCAAUCAUUGCCCCUCUCUGAAAUCUCAUUCUAGUUUCAUAAAGAAUGGGCAAAGUGACAAGAGAACUCUUUUUUCUUUUAGACAAAUAAAGAGGAAGAUGAACCAAGC
rnacentral:misc_RNA from 1 species